GAGGAGUUCAGUCUCCACAACGUUUACCGAGGGCGUGCUAGGUGCCAGGCCUUGGGGCAGGCACAGAAGACAUGAUCCCGAACAAGACAGGCUGGCUCCUCCAGCAGCUUUUGUUCUGAAACAGGAUAGCAGUUUAGGGGAAUGCAUUCAUUUUCAACUGCAGGAGAAAGAAUAACUCCAGAGAACUACAACGUUAUGCUGAGCCAAAUUAGCAGUGAAAUUGAAGAGCAGGAUAAAAUGACUGACAUACAAGGGUUCAGCCCCCACAGAUCCUCUCUGAGAAGAUAUACUUGAGUGUUUCUAGCAAGAAGAAAAGCGACCCUAAGAAAGUGAUCAAGUCACAGGAAGGUGGUACCUUGCAUCCUAUUGGGAUGGAGACUGAAUACUUCAGUUUCAAAACAGGAUGAGGUUCAUGUGACAGAAGGAAGCGCCCAUGAAUCAGCUGUCCAGACUCCUUUUAGGUGAACCAGAACCCCCACAGCCACAGCCUCUCAAGUGGAGAUUUUAAAGCAGUAACGU